AUGAAAGAAAAGGGUCUGGAAAGAAAAAGAAGAACCAGAGGUCACGAUCCAAAAACCAAGGAGCUGUCAUGGCAGAUCAAACAAGCUGAGGAGAAGGGCUGGUCGGAGAACUACAGCUGCAACAGGAUGGAGGAGAGUUUAUCAGGAAACAUCAUCAGGGGGGUGUGCCAGCAGCAAAAAAAAGAAAAAGAAAUGAUUGAUCUCAAUGAGUUGCCUCAUGAACUUAAUGAGCUUCCUCAUGAUAUGGAUCAACAGCAACCCAGCGUUCCACCAGGAGGUAACGCUGAUUAUGGGACAGAAAAUGUGCGCUCUGUUGACUCCACACAGCCAACCCGUGGGCCUAACCCUAUGGGCCGUGACAAUGUGGCAGGGCAGUCAUCAACCCGUGGUGCCCCUGUAGUGGUGUCUUUGCAGUCAGAGAGCCAUACUCUUGAUGACACAGGCACCGUGGCAGAUGUUGCUGGUCCAACCAGGACUGGGCUAGGAGCGGGGGUUGUUGACGGUGCUGUGCAAGGAGAAGAAGGAGAGGAUGAGGCUGGGUCUCAGCCCAUGGAACCCUAUGUUGGCAUGAGGUUUGAUAGCCUUCAAGUUGCUAAGGAUCAUUACAACAACUACGCCCUACGAAUGGGUUUCUCUGUCAAGAUGAACACCUCUAGGCGGACACCUCACACUAAUGUGUUGGUAAAACAACAGUUUUGUUGCAACAAGUACAAGAAGCCCAAAGCUAAUGAUGGAGGAGCGGAGGCUGCUCCUGUCCUGGACCCUAUACCAGAUCCAAUCGCUGUGGACGGUGAUGAGGAAAUGGAAGAUGAACCUCCAAUCUUUGCUAAAGAGGAGGCUGGUCCUAGUAAGAAAAAGAAGAAACGGAAACGCGAGACAAUAAAACAGACUCAAUGCAAGGCAAAAAUGUUGGUGAAGUUGAUAGAUGGGCGAUGGGAGGUGAUACACUUUGUUCGUGACCACAAUCAUCCGCUGGUGAACAAACCUUCGUUGACCAAAUACUUGAGAUCCCACCAAGGCAUUUCUCCGGAUGAAAAGGACUUUUUGCGCAUCUUGUAUAACUGCAACUUGACUAUAGGUGUGUUUCUAUAUCCCUUACAGUAUUAA
rnacentral:rRNA from 1 species